rnacentral:tRNA from 1 species
GCGCCCGUAGCUCAACGGACAGAGCACCAGACUUCGGAUCUGGGGGUUGCGGGUUCGAAUCCUGCCGGGCGCG